AUUGAACGCUGGCGGCAUGCUUUACACAUGCAAGUCGAACGGUAACAGGCCUUCGGGUGCUGACGAGUGGCGAACGGGUGAGUAAUGCAUCGGAACGUGCCCAGAGGUGAGGGAUAACGCAGCGAAAGCUGUGCUAAUACCGCAUGUGAUCUGAGGAUGAAAGCGGGGGACCAAGCAGCAAUGUUUGGCCUCGCGCCUCUGGAGCGGCCGAUGUCAGAUUAGGUAGUUGGUGGGGUAAAGGCCUACCAAGCCGACGAUCUGUAGCUGGUCUGAGAGGACGACCAGCCACACUGGGACUGAGACACGGCCCAGACUCCUACGGGAGGCAGCAGUGGGGAAUUUUGGACAAUGGGCGCAAGCCUGAUCCAGCAAUGCCGCGUGCGGGAAGAAGGCCUUCGGGUUGUAAACCGCUUUUGUACGGAACGAAAAGGCUCUGGCUAAUACCUGGGGCUGAUGACGGUACCGUAAGAAUAAGCACCGGCUAACUACGUG
rnacentral:rRNA from 1 species